rnacentral:rRNA from 1 species
UACGGAGGAUCCGAGCGUUAUCCGGAUUUAUUGGGUUUAAAGGGUGCGUAGGCGGUUUGAUAAGUUAGGGGUGAAAUGUCGGGGCUCAACCCCGAAACUGCCUCUAAUACUGUUGGACUAGAGAAUAGUUGCGGUAGGCGGAAUGUAUGGUGUAGCGGUGAAAUGCUUAGAGAUCAUACAGAACACCGAUUGCGAAGGCAGCUUACCAAACUAUAUCUGACGUUGAGGCACGAAAGCGUGGGUAGCAAACAGG